AACGAACGCUGGCGGCAGGCUUAACACAUGCAAGUCGAGCGCCCCGCAAGGGGAGCGGCAGACGGGUGAGUAACGCGUGGGAAUCUACCCAUCUCUACGGAAUAACGCAUGGAAACGUGUGCUAAUACCGUAUACGUCCUUCGGGAGCAAGAUUUAUCGGAGAUGGAUGAGCCCGCGUUGGAUUAGCUAGUUGGUGGGGUAAAGGCCUACCAAGGCGACGAUCCAUAGCUGGGCUGAGAGGAUGAUCAGCCACACUGGGACUGAGACACGGCCCAGACUCCUACGGGAGGCAGCAGUGGGGAGUAUUGGACAAUGGGCGCAAGCCUGAUCCAGCCAUGCCGCGUGAGUGAUGAAGGCCCUAGGGUUGUAAAGCUCUUUCACCGGUGAAGAUAAUGACGGUAACCGGAGAAGAAGCCCCGGCUAACUUCGUGCCAGCCGCCGCGGUAAAAC
rnacentral:rRNA from 1 species